rnacentral:rRNA from 1 species
UACGUAGGGUGCGAGCGUUGUCCGGAAUUAUUGGGCGUAAAGGGCUCGUAGGCGGUUUGUCGCGUCGGGAGUGAAAUCCAUUGGCUUAACUGGUGGCUUGCUUUCGAUACGGGCAGACUGGAGGUAUGCAGGGGAGAAUGGAAUUCCCGGUGUAGCGGUGAAAUGCGCAGAUAUCGGGAGGACACCGGUGGCGAAGGCGGUUCUCUGGGCCUG